GAUGAACGCUGGCGGCGUGCCUAAUACAUGCCAGUCGAGCGAACGGACGAGAAGCUUGCUUUUCUGAUGUUAGCGGCGGACGGGUGAGUAACACGUGGAUAACCUACCUAUAAGACUGGGAUAACUUCGGGAAACCGGAGCUAAUACCGGAUAAUAUUUUGAACCGCAUGGUUCAAAAGUGAAAGACGGUCUUGCCGUCACUUAUAGAUGGAUUCGCGCUGCAUUAGCUAGUUGGUAAGGUAACGGCUUACCAAGGCAACGAUGCAUAGCCGACCUGAGAGGAUGAUCGGCCACACUGGAACUGAGACACGGUCCAGACUCCUACGGGAGGCAGCAGUAGGGAAUCUUCCGCAAUGGGCGAAAGCCUGACGGAGCAACGCCGCGUGAGUGAUGAAGGUCUUCGGGUCGUAAAACUCUGUUAUUAGGGAAGAACAUAUGUGUAAGUAACUGUGCACAUCUUGACGGUACCUAAUCAGAAAGCCACGGCUAACUACGUG
rnacentral:rRNA from 1 species